UACGGGGGGAGCAAGCGUUGUUCGGAUUUACUGGGCGUAAAGGGCGCGUAGGCGGUCAGCACAAGUCAGUUGUGAAAUCUCCGGGCUUAACUCGGAAAGGUCAACUGAUACUGUGCGACUAGAGUGCAGAAGGGGCAACUGGAAUUCUCGGUGUAGCGGUGAAAUGCGUAGAUAUCGAGAGGAACACCUGCGGCGAAGGCGGGUUGCUGGGCUGACACUGACACUGAGGCACGAAAGCGUGGGGAGCAAACAGG
rnacentral:rRNA from 1 species